CACGUAGUUAGCCGUGGCUUCCUCGUAAGAUACCAUCACUUAAUGACCAUUUCCUAUCAUUACCGUUUUUCUCUUACAACAGAGCUUUACGACCCGAAGGCCUUCUUCACUCACGCGGCAUUGCUCGUUCAGGGUUUCCCCCAUUGACGAAAAUUCCCUACUGCUGCCUCCCGUAGGAGUUUGGGCCGUGUCUCAGUCCCAAUGUGGCCGUCUACCCUCUCAGGCCGGCUACGUAUCAUCGCUUUGGUGGGCCGUUACCCCGCCAACUGGCUAAUACGCCGCAGGUCCAUCCAUGUCCGCACCCGAAGGUCCUUUAAUAUAGCCAAGAUGCCUUGUCUAUACCUAUCCGGUUUUAGCAGACGUUUCCAUCUGUUAUCCCGGGUACAUGGGCAGGUUCCCUAGUGUUACUCACCCGUUCGCCACUAAGUCUGUCAAAAGCAAGCUUUACAACUAGUCUUCGUUCGUACUUGCCAUUGUAUUAGGCUAUGUCCGCCAGCGUUCAUCCUGACGCCAGGACACAAACUCUCU
rnacentral:rRNA from 1 species